rnacentral:lncRNA from 1 species
AAUUUACAUACUUUUUAAGAGUUCGGACGAAAAACCUAAGAAUAAGAAUCCUAUCUGCCAUUCAUUUCUUUUUGUAGUGAAUGAAGCUUAUACAGAAUAAAUAAGUUCCAGAUAAAUUCAACAGGUGAAUCGGAUACCUGCUCUAUGUCAGGUGCUGGGAAUAUACAGAAGAUAAAACAAAAACAAACACAAAAAAACCAACUCCACAUUAUGGAAUUCACAUUGUAAAAGGAAUACAUUUCCCUAUAAUAAUAAUUACAGACAUGUAGUGAGGACAAUCCAUGGGCCACCUGAGUUGUUUUCAAACCUGAGUUCCACUCAUACACCUGUUCUAGAGCCCUUGCUCCAAAACCACUAUUGAUAUUCCAGUUGUAUGUUUUAAAAAAGCCAUUUCCCAUUGAUUUUUGUUAUAAUUGUACCUAUUUUUUUUAAAAAAAGAUGAUAAUUUAGUUUCACCAGGGCUGUUUUCUUUCUUUCUUUUUUUUUUUUUGAGACGGAAUCUUGCUCUUGUUGCCCAGGCUGGAGUACAAUGGCACGAUCUCGGCUCACUGCAACCUCCACCUCCCAGGUUCAAGCAAUUCUCCUGCCUCAGCCUCCUAAGUAGCUGGGAUUACAGGCGCCCGCCACCACGCCCAGCUAAUGUUUGUAUUUUUAGUAGAGAUGAGGUUUCACCGUGUUGGCCAGGCUGGUCUCGAACUGCUGACCUCAUGAUCCGCCCACCUUGGCCUCCCAAAGUGCUGGUAUUACAGGCAAGAGCCACCGCGCCUGGUCAGCCAGGGCUGUUUUCUAUCUCCUAAACAGGAUAACACUGCAGGAGGUACUUCACCUUUAAGAGCUUACAAUGUUGUAGCAAGUGCCCAACUACCUUGUGGAGGAAUCUAGACCCCAUAGCCAGACAUCACAUUUUAUGAUGUACACUCUAAACAUGGUAAAAGUUCAAAGAAGCAGGAGUGCACUGUGAGUAGGUAGAGAAUGCAUCUCUCUGGAGCAGAAACGUCAGAUUAUUUUAACAGUAUAAGCUAUGGAGAGCGAUUAUGAGCCUUGUGGUGCCUGAGAACAGGAAAGAAAGAAGUAUCCUACCUUCCUUAUAUAAUUUAUACCUCGGGGUAACUAAAUGGUUGUGAGGGAGAUUUCCUCAUUACAGAAUAAUUCCAGUUUCACAGUGCAGAACGUCUGAUAGAAUGUUAACAUUUACAACAGCUCAUGAAAUAAAGCUAGACCUCUUCAAUGGCUAACUUAAUGGUUGAAACCAUUAAGUAAAAUGCUGAUGGAGAAGUAUGUGAUUAAUGAAUCAGUAGUAGAGAAGUAUUUAAUUCAUGGAUCAGGGCAACCGCACUUCAACUCACUGAUCAAUUUUAAUAUUACAAAAACAGAUAACUAGAUAUUCUAGUUCAAAUAAUUGAACUAGAUAGUGGUUUACUAAGACUCUAGACUCUCAUCAAGUUUCUAGAUCUGAUGAGUAGUUUAUUAGAAAUUUAAGAUAUAGGGGAACAUUGUUAAAUCACCACAGGAGCACAAGUAGCAAAAAUCCACACUGAAAUUCUAUAAGACAAAUGAUCUAAGGAAAAAAAAUUUUUAAGGAAAGAAGGGCAGGAAAACCUGUAGAGUAAAAUGAAUUUAAAGAUAUUUAUCGGUUUAAUUGCAAUGUAUAGACCUUGUUUGGAUCCUAAUUUGAUCAAAGCUAACCACAAACACAUUUAUGAGACAAUUGGAGAAAUUUUAAAACUGACUGAAUAUUAGAAGUUAAAGAAUUGUUUUUGAAAAUGGUAUUGUGGUUAUAGUUUUUAAAAAUCUUUUGGUAUAUGCAUACUAAAUAAUUUACUAAUGAAUGAUAUGAUCGGACUUUGCUUCAUACUUUAAUCCAUGGGGGAUGGGAAGCAUAUAUGGGAGUACACAGGAAAGAAGCUUGUCUUAGUGUUGGUAUUGAUGAUGGGUGAUGGGUAGAUGGGUUUUUUUAUUCUGUUCUACUUUUGUGUAUAUUUAGAAUGUUCCAUAAUAAAAACUCAAAAACACGUAAAACAAGACAAAGAAAGAUUCCUGUGGUUUGGAGACAACCAAAGCAAAGUGAGAACACAUACAAAACCAUGUGAAGGUUCAAGAGAUUCUCCUGCCUCAGCCUCCCAAGUAAUUGGAAUUACAGGCCCAUGCCACCCCACCCGGCCAAUUUUUUUUGUAUUUUUAGUAGAGAUGGGGUUUUGCCAUGUUGGCCAGGCUGGUCUCAAACUCCUGACCUCAAGUGAUCCGCCAGCCUCGGCCUCCCAAAGUGCUGGGAUUACAGGCACGAGCCACCAUGCCGGACCUAUUAGUGUAUUUACUGGAUAUCAAGAUGACUAAGAAAUAGCACUUGCCUUGAAGGAGCUUUUCUAUUUGAGGAAAAAGACAUGUAUAUAAAUAACUGCAAACAGAAUGAAACAAGUGUUAUGUAGAUCUACAUACAGUGACAUGCCAUGGGAAUGCUGAACACUGAGCAACAGUUUCAACUAGCGAAUUGGCACAGGAAACAUGAAAAAUAAGCGUAUUUUCAAUAUGACAAGAAUGGUCAUUUCUGGAUAUAAGAACAAGAGAAAAGUCAUGGGUAUAUGGAAAGGCAUGGACUCUUCAAGGAAGAGCAAGUAGUCUAAUGUAGAUGCUGUAUAGGAAUCUGGGGACAAAGGGACAGAUAAGUGGUGUAGACAAAGAGGCUGGAAAUAGGGUUAUGGGCUAGAUCAUGAGUGACCUGUAAGCAUUAGGAGUUUUGAUUUAUUUUGGAAUAAGAAACAUUUAUGGCUUUUGAGAAGGAAAAUUACACAAGGGAAAAGAAAGGAUUUUUAUUUUUUAUUUUUAUUUUUGGAGAGAUGAGAUCUCACUAUGUUGCCCAGGCUGGUCUUGAACUCCUGAACUCAAGCAAUCCUCCCGGCUCGGCCUCUGAAACUUCUAGGAUUAUAGGCGUGAGCCACUACGCCCAGCCAGGAUUAUGUUUUUUUAUGGGAGGGAUGAGAAUAUUGGUAGGUGGGUAGAGGAUAAAUGAGAGAGAAUAUGUAUAUGUGAGAUUGAAUAUAUAAUAGAAAAAAUUGAUAGGACAAGUCCUGCGUUAUUACUACAUUUUAUGAGGAAAAUCUAUAUAUUAGAAGCACUUUAAAGGUAUAUUUGCUAUUCUAGCUGUGGAAACCAUCUGAAAACACAUUUGAAAGUGCUUUGAAACAGGGGUCAACUUCUCUGCAAAGGGCCAGAGUAUGUUUAGCUUUGCGGGCCACAGAUGGCCUCUGUUGCAUAUGCUGCUGGGUCUCCACCUUCCUCCUCCUUUUCUUCCCUUCCUCUUCCUUCUUUUUCUUCUUCUCUUUCUUCUUUCUCUUUAAAAGCAUAAAAUCAUUCUCAGCUCUUGGGCCAUACAGAAACAGGCCAUAGGCCAGAUUUGACUUCUAGGCCAUAGUUUGCCGACCCUCCAUUUUAGAACUUAGCUUUCCUGAAAGAGCAUUUGGGUCUCUCUCUCUCUUUCCCUUUCUCUCUCUCUGUCUCUCUCUCUCUCUCUUUCAGUAAGUGAAGUAAGAAAUAGGUCUUUCUUGAGGAACAAAAAGCUGAAAUAAUUUCAUGCAUUUGAAUAUGACCCUUGACCUGUUUUUGUCCAUCAUCACUCAGAUUUGUGGCUGCAACCACCAACCAAUUUGGUGCCAUAGGAUAUAGCAUAAUUUUUCAGCAACAGUUCAUAAGCUUUUCUUUUUGUUCUUUUUCCUUCUUCCAGUUGUGGUGGUUUAAAAACAUGUCUGCAAAAUCUUUGACACUUCUCAGUAAAAAAUAUAGUCUUGUGUUCCCUUUUCUUGAACCUAAGUGGCCUUUGUGCUGCCUCAACAAAUAGAAUAUGACAGAAAAGACACUAUGUGACUUUUGAGACAGGGUCAUAAGAGGUGAUACAGCUUCCCCAUGCCCCUGCAUUUUAGAGCUCUGGGUUGCCAUGUAAGAAUAGCUACCCUGAAGCUACCAUGCUGAAGAGACCACAGGGAAAUCACAUAGAGUUAGAAAGAGGUGUCUGAAGAAGCCCAGCUGCUCCCAAUCCCAGCUAUUUAAGUCCUCCCAGACCAGGUGCCAUAUAUAUGAGUGAGCAAGCCUUCAGAUGGUUCCAGCACCAGCCACCAUCUAGCUGUAAGCUCAUGAGACCCCUUCAACGAAAACCAUCUAGAUUAGCUUAGUCAAGCCCCAGAACCGUGAAAGACAAUAGACUUGCUAUGGAGGUCGCCACAUGCCUCUUUUUUCUCCCUUUGUGAAUGGGAUUAUUUAUAAUGGUUACCCCAUACCUACUCCACUAUGUAUAUUGGGUAUGAGGGAGAGAUAAUUUGUCUCACUAGCUGACAGAUUUUUCAGACCUCAAGGAAUGCCACGUGAGCUGUACUCACAGGACCACACACAAGUAUCUUUAUCCACACGUGACCUGAUUUCACUGAUAAAGUCCUGGACCUUGAGCCUGAGCCCAAUGUCUUAAUAAAUGAGAAUUUCAGAAGGUCUUGGGAGGGGGUGAGUAUAUUUUGCAUGUGGGAAGGAUGUAAAUAAUAUGUGGCCUGAGAGCAGAUUAUGGUGGUUUGAAAAUGUGUCCACCAAUUCUUUAAUACUACUCUCAACAAGAGGUGGAAUCUGUGUCUCUUCCUUUGGAACAUGAGUGGACCUUUGUGAUUAAAUGCAGCAGAAGGAUGCUGUGUGAACUCUGAGACAGGGUAAUAAGGGGUGAUACAGCUGCCACCUAGUUCUUUCUCAGAACAUGUGCCUUUGGAGCCCUGAGCUGCCAUGGAAGAAAACCACCUACCCUGAAGCCACAACACUGGAAAGACCAUGUGGAAGAACCACAGAGAGAGAGAAGAGGACCAAAUGUGUGAGCCUUCCCAGCCCAGGCUCCAAAUAUGCAAGUAGUAAGCCUUCAUUUCUUUUUGGUUUUAAUUUUUUUUUUUAAAUAAAUCGAAAUGGGUUCUCACUAUGUUGCCCAGGCUGGUCUUGAACUCCUAAGCUCAAGUAAUCCUCCUACCUCAGUCUCCCAAAGUGCUGGAAUUGUAGGCAUGAGCCACCAUGCCCGGCUGCAAUUAGUAAGUCUUCAGAUGCUUCCAUCACCAGCCACCAUCCGAUGACAACCCCAUGAAUGACCCUCAGCAAGAACUACCUAGCUGAAUCCAGCCAAACUCCAGACCCAUGAGAGAGAAAUAAAAUUGUUGUUUGAGUCACUAAAUACGGAGUAAUUUAUAUUAUCAACAGAUAACUGGAACCACAAGUGUAAUUGUUAAAGGUAAAACUUUGAAUACAUUUAUAUUUGCCUUCUGCCACAUUCCAUAAUUGACUUUUGUUCAUGAACCUAUUGGCAAGUUUGCCUUAUUGCUUUUCCUUCUUCCCUCUUUUUUUUUUUUGUAACUUAAAAAAUCAUAUAAUAAAACAACACAAAAAUGUAUUUGAAUGUAGGUUGAGUGACCGUAAAUAAGCACAAAACUUCUCCUUCCUGUGACUCUCUUGUCUGUAUAUGCCAAGUAUCUAACACAAGGCCUGCCUGGCACAUAAUUUUUUUUUUUAAAUGUUAGUCUCUUUUAUCAUUCUUUUUCCCUGUCAGUGGUAUUAUCUUUACCCAUGGAAUCCAGCACCCUCAUGCUGACUUAUAGUUCCCCAAAGUCCCUAACCUCUACAGUCCUCUCCAACCCCCACCCCAGGCCUCUCUCUAUGUUCCAGACAUUUUCUGGCUUUUUACCAUUAUCCAAACUCUGAACUUAUCUACUUAGUUUUUAUAAAAAAACACAGAGUGACUACAUAGCUAAUAUAAAUAAUGCCAGUGUUAACACAAAAAUUUGACUUGAAUGAUUACAAUAGCAAACUUCAAUGUUUACCCCAUGGAAUAGGCAGAAAAUUUCAAGCACUUUUCU